ensembl:lncRNA
UUCAGUCAUCGAUUUCUCUGAUAUACAUCAUUCAUAUGCACAGAGUUAAAUGUGUUCAUUUUGGAUAUUUCCUGAAAUCCAACUCACUAAUUCACAAAGCCUUGGGAGUAUCUCCCUACAAGAUGCUUAUUAAUUACAAAGUUGAACUUUAAAUCUACAUUGGAGAAACCUCACAGACACCACCUUAAACACAUGGUCAAAGUCUACCUCACUAGUAAUAAAAUGUGUCAACCUCGUAAACCCUUUUGGAGCUUCCCUGGUAGCUCAGCCAUAAAGAAUCUUCCUGCCAAUGCAGGAGACAUGGGUCUGAGUGUUCAAUCCCUGGGUCAGGAAGGUCCCCUGGAGAAGGAAAUGGCAACACACUCCAGUGUUCUUGCCUAGAAAAUCCCAUGGACAGAGGAGCCUGGCGGGCUACAGUCCAUGGGGUUGCAAAGGAGUUGGACACAACUGAGCAACUAAACAACAACCUCAUGCACCUCUGGAUGCGACGCACCGGGAAGGGGAUACUAUCGUGACUGUGCAGAGACCUUCCCAACCAUCUCGUCCACACAGCGUAGUGAGCAUAGUACCACGUCUCCUGUGUGCUGUCCUCCUGUGCACUUCCCCACUCUUACUCCAAAGUCACAGCAAUGAUGCCUGUGCAUGUGGAUGCUGAAAUAUCUUAAGUUUAGUUGACAUUACCAACAACAAUCAUCAGACAAUGGAACUGUGUUGAUGCAAAACAAGCCCUCAUGCUACUUGGGGAAAAAUUCAAUUAACAACGGAAUCAUGUAGAGCCACCCGGUGGUGAUGGAGAUUUAGUGGCAUACUGCAGUUGAAAACUGCCUGUAGGGGCCAUGGGGCUAUUUCCCCUUUAUUCUUGCUUUGCCAGCCCACAGCAACCAUGCUGGUUGCCACUCAUCACAAAUCAAAUGAAACAAAAAUCACCAGGGGUUAAAAAGCCUAUACUGGAUUAUAGCCAUGCCAUUUAGAACAUAACAUUUUACUGGUAAUUGCAUUCUGUUGAAUAAAUAUCCUGACAUCAGCUUAUGGCAUAUUAGUAUUCUGAUGGCAAUUAUUUUCACUUAAAUGUGUCUGCCUCUAAAACAGGAAAGGGUACAAUGACACGAGGUUUGGAGAUGGAAUGGAUAGUCUGUCUGUUAAACCAGAGGCUCUCGCGUGGAGUUAGGGUUGUGGGUUAAACAAAUUACACAGAGAUUUAUUUCAUGUGAUGUCUUUGCAAAAUUAUCUAUUGAAGCCAUACACUUACAGUUUUCAAACUCUGUUGUAUAUAUAUAGAGCCAGGGGCUAGAAGUACAGAUGCUGAGGCUCUUCCCCAGACAUUCUGUAUUCGAAUCUUUAGGAGCAGGACUCAGGAAUCUACAUUCUUAACACAGUUCUCAAGUCUUCCAGUGAACUGCCAGUUUGACGAAUACUGUUCUAAAUGUUUACCAGUCUUAUUCCAAAGUAUCAAUGAUGAUUCAAGUAUAAAUUCAUCUAAAAAGCACAAAGUCUACCACUGGAAAUAGACCAAGGAACAGCAAAAAGCAGUUGUGACAGAGACCAUAUAACCUGCAAAGCCUGAAACAGUCACCACCUGGCCUUUGUGGAAAAAAGUUUGCCAACACCUGAUAUAAACAGAUAUCGGGGACUGAGGGACCAGGAAAACCCCAAUGCUGCCUUUCUUAUGAGCUCAAGACUAAGUGUGCAAACAGUAAGAAGGUGGAGAGCGCCGCGUAAACAGGAUAGGCACGACCCCAGUUCAGAUCCUUACCAUCUCUUCUCUGCACCCGUUUCCUGCCUCAUCUCCUGACUCAGUAAGUCUUUCUCCACCUUGCUGCCAGCGUGACAUUACCAGGACACACAUUUGAUUGAAGCAUUUCCCUGCUGACAUCAUUCCUGCUGGUUUCUCCUCCUCAACUGUGCCAUUCAAAUGUGCUCCAGAGGCAGGGGCAGCCAGUCUGUUCAUGAUAAGUGGCCAUGUCUGGAGCAUCUCUGAGUCUCCAAAGCCUCUGGGCUGUGAACAUAUGAGGGACUGAAGUUGGAAUUAAGACUGAUAAUGAUGGAUGAAAUGGCUUCCCUGGUGGUGCAGUGGUAAAGAAUCUGUCUGCCAAUGCAGG